GCCAUGGACCUUGCCAAUUUCGAGUCCAAUAAGCAAACUCAAGUGCAGCGCGCAUAUCUCCUUCAUUCUCUCUUCUGUUCAACAUACCGGCGGCCAUCCCCGGCGCCGGUACCAGCUCCACCCUCAUCAACACCACUAAAUCAAAACCUAACAAACUACAAUUACACUCAUGGCAAUGGAAUCAUCCUAUAGGCGAAGAAUCCGUGGAAUCGCCCUCAGUCACAAACAAUCAAUUAAACACUCCUCACUGCAAAUUAACACCUAAUGCCAUGUGGUUUUUGAUCCUCCACCUAAAUGCUAGGUAACAGCGUGCUCAGAACAAGAAAGCGAAAAUAAACGGUAAACGACAUACCGGAGAAGAUGAUCGGAGAUGUUUGCCGGGUGUUCGGUUUCGCAUAGCCGUCGCUUGGGACGCUUCCUGCUUGCUAUUCUCAUUUCCUGUUUUUCUGUGGUAUAGAAGUUCUUGUAUGACAACGUCUCUUCAACGUUAUCAAUCCCACACUUGUCAUUGGCGGAAGCUGUUUUCUUUGUAGCAGAUAGAGAGUAUCGGCCUUCACUUGGAGCAAUACUUCUGAGUAUAAGCCUUUUGACAACACCUUUGUAAGUAGUUAUAAAGCAGGACCACCUGUCUCAAAAGUCCUCUCCUUCGAUAGUUCAGCAUCACUUUGCCACUUCCCGAGCUUUCUAUAAACCUUCAGCAACUUCAACCGUCACUCUCUGACCCAAACGAACAACCUUACUCGAUUCCACGCACUUGUUAUAGCACCGCUGUGCAUUUUCUACUGUCAUGAGCUUGUUUGGUAUCAUAAUAAGGUUAGGUUAACUUGGAGUUGCAAGGUUUAAUUUGGCAUGUGGAUUGCUGAACUUUGUAGUGAAUUUCUUCGAUCAUGCUUUGGUCCACAUUGCAAUGCAGGAACUGGUGUUGAAUGAUUUUUCAACUGGUUUGUUGCAGCAGGAUGUUUGUUUGGCUCAAUACCGAAUUUGAGGCAGUUUGCGUGACAUUUGCAGGUAGCCUAUCUUGAGUGCAGGUCCAUUGGCAUAUUGCAGAAUGGUGGAGCAUCCUGCAAAAAUGGCAUGCCCUUCAUGUCACCUGGUUUGGCCUGUGCAUAAAUGCAAGCUGCUUGUUUUCUUUGCUCACCUUUCUUGUACAUGAAUGGUUCUGCAGGAUUUUUGCGAUGUGUUGUCUGCAAGACGUAUGGUGACAUUUGUUGUUAUGGUGUUAUUGCAGGUGGAUCUGGUUAAAAUGGUAAGUGGAGUGAAAAUGUUUUGUUGAUGUGCUUACUGCUUUGCUUCUUGGCGGAUGACCGUAAUUCUCGCUGAACUUAACGACAGGUUUUGUUCCCACAAGCAUCAUUAGUCAUAGAGUUAUGGUGUAUGCCUAUGGUUCCUUAUAACCUGCAGAUGCAGGUUUUGCUGCGAGUUGGCGGUUAUCAAUUGUUCGACGACCAUGUCGCUCGGCCAAGGUAGGUAACAGGCUUUGUUGGAAUUCGCCUGGAAGCUGCGAGCAGCGGGAUGGUUAGUGCAGGGUAUUCCAGCUCUGUUGAAGCAAAGAGUUUGAUUCAGGAUCAUAGGACUUCUUUGUUGCGGUAAUACCCGCCGUUACAUGAUAGCUAUUGAAGAGCUUGUAACAGGUAGUGCACCUGAAGUAAGCAAAGCGGAUUCUGCCAUGGCAAUGUGAGGGUCAUGAGAAGAACUGGCGGCAGCUUCUGAUUCAAUUGGCUGAGGUUGUUUUGGCUAUUAUGCAUAUAUCCAUAUUGCAUGCUAUGAUACAUUUGAUAUGGCAUUAGCUUGUAGUUGGUACUGAGAUAAAGCUAUGUGCUUGAAUUUUGUACAUGCCAACUUUGAGUUGCCACAAAUCGGUAGGAGGAACAGUGACUUGAAGUUGGUCUUGCCCAUGAUUACACUGCUGAACUUGCGGUGCAUUUGCUAUGGAAGAUGAGCCUAAUGUGGGAUAAGUUACAAUUGGUUGUCUAAAUAAACUUUACCGAAGUAUGACAAAUCUUGACAAUGAGCGCAUGAAAAACUAAGAUAAAUAAAGACAUGCUAUUGAAUCCAA